AUUUGACUCAACGCGGGAAAUCUUACCGGGUCCGGACACACUGAGGAUUGACAGAUAUAUACCCCGUGAUUUUAUCGCGGGGUUGAAAGAUGCUAGUUCUUUCAUGAUUAUGUGAUAGGUGGUGCAUGGCCGUUCUUAGUUCGUGGAGUGAUCUGUCUGCUUAAUUGCGUAUCAAUAAUAGAGACCUAGUAUACGCGUAGACUCAUGCGGUAGUGACCCCCCUUCACAGGGCGCGUGUCGCACGUAUGUUAUACGCACAGGUCUCCGAUAGCAACGAACGUGACCGUACUCUAUUGUUGCAGCGACAAUACCUUUCAACGGGUAUUACCGCUGCUUAGCAAGAUUCGUCUUGCAUUAAACUAUAGAGACCGCUGUUUCUUCUUUAAACCAGAGGAAGGAUACGGCAAUAACAGGU
rnacentral:rRNA from 1 species